AACCUUUAGCAAUACAAAUAUUAAAGGCGACGCCUGCCCAGUGAAUAAUUAAACGGCCGCGGUACCCUAACCGUGCAAAGGUAGCAUAAUCAUUUGUCUAUUAAUUGUAGACCGGUAUGAAAGGCAAAAUGAGGGCCUGACUGUCUCUUAUAAUAAAUCAAUUAAACUGAUCUCCCAGUCCAAAAGCUGGGAUACCAACAUAAGACCAGAAGACCCUGUGAAGCUUAAACUAAAUUAUUAAAACCUAUAAUAACACCUUUCGGUUGGGGCGACCUUGGAAAAAAAAAGAACUUCCAAAUACAUGACCUUGUAUCACUUAACUCAGGCUAACAAGCCAAAACAUUAGACCCAGCACAGCUGACAAUUGAACCAAGUUACUCCAGGGAUAACAGCGCUAUCUUCUUCAAGAGCCCAUAUCAAAAAGAAGGUUUACGACCUCGAUGUUGGAUCAGGACAUCCUAAUGGUGCAACCGCUAUUAAGGGUUCGUUUGUUCAACGAUUAAUAGUCCC
rnacentral:rRNA from 1 species